GGGGUCCAGACCCGCAGAGCUGCAGCUGACAGACGACCGCCCUCCGCCCAGACCCUUCGCACCUUCUAUCCCAGCAUGGACCCUGUCCAGCAGCCCUACUGCAGGGAGGAGGUUGGGAUCCUGGGGACUGAUGGCAUCCUGUACAGAGGCCGUGUGGACCUGACCUUGCCUUCCCUAGUGCCCCCUUGUUCCAGGUCCAGUACCCCUGUCCUGCCAGAGAGAAUAUGACCACCGGCACAGCUAAGGACACACAUGCUGCUCAUGUACAUUAUCAGUGCAUUCAGCACACACAUAUAAAGAGAAUCAGAGACUUUGUUUUUGCUAUCAUUUGAAUCCAGUUAAAAUUAAUAUGAAUGUCCUUGGUUGUCUGUAAGUAUAUAUAAUUACUGAGGCCUGUGUUCAGUAAGCAGACCAAAAUAUUACCAAGCCCUUUAAAUAUAGUGUACAUUGUCAUUAUAAAUGCCUCAGCAACAAAGCAGGAGGAAGAGAAUAUCUGUAACAGAAGGUAUUAUAAAUGUAAUCUCUGCUUUAAGUUUAAAAAUAGAGCAGUGGGAACAAUCCUUUUACACCCAGGCUGACGAGGAAGCUGUCAGAGGCGUGUCUCUGUGUGGAGUCUACGUACGAGCACUGCAGUUCUUCUGACGCUCCACACUAAUCCUGCUCCUGCAUCUGCUAUAGACUGCAGUGCAGCUACUCCGAAGAUAGCAUUGCACCUACAGCUACGCCUGAUUAAAAAGCAGCCAGUUCCAGUUGGCUGCAUCAUGAGUGUUCCCUGAAUUUACCUUUAAAUUUAAUUGAUUGGCAGGCUGCGUCUUUGUUUGGGCGUUGUAACCGCUAAUACUCUGUGCGGUGUCCUGGAUAAGGCCCUCAGAUGAAGGAAGUUGAAUAAACCACGGUACUGUGCCUAUUCCCUGGUAAGAGAGAUUUCAUGGUCGUUUUUGUGUGGAAUUUGAAAAGCGUACUGUACCGACAGGAAUGGCUGCUUUUACAUGUUAUGUAAUACGUGCCUCCCUGCUCCCUCUCCUCCCCCCUCCCACACACCAUUCUCCUCACUCUAUUAUUCUUCCUGUCACGGUCAGUAAUUCACAGGAGACUCAGUCCUGUUGGUCCUCUGCCAGCGAUGAGGAGGUCGUGACAGUGGCGGCGGUUGUUUUAUCCUUGGGUUCGUGACAUUCACUUCAGUAAUAUUUAUGUGCUGAGUAGCAGCUCUCCUUCCUGCCAGGACCGAGGAUACUGUUUCAGUUCCGGUGAGCAGGCAGCUAUGGAGUCAGCUCCCCUUCCUGGUGCCGACGGGGUGGAAAAGCCAGCCUGUGCCAAAGCAAACCUGCCACUGCAGCAAGCGCUGUGAUUGGACGCCACUGUGGCCUCUCGCUCGACUCAAACUCCAGCAACGUCACAGAGGAACUUCACAAGGGCCACAGCUGGAGUUGAUCUCAGCACAGGUGUGGAGUCCCCCAGAUGUUUAUUACAGAAGAAGGAAGCUUAUCUUCGCUUUUUUUUUUGUCGAGCUUCGUCACUAAUACUGUUGCCUCUAUUGGUUAUCAUGAAUAAAUAUAAGCAUGAAAAUAUUUUGGAAAGAAUCUCUGCUGGAAUAAAUAAAUAAAUAAUGCCCUCUGUGGUUCCACACCAGAAGAAUUUCUGACAACGUUUAAAUGAAGCAGCAAUGCUCAGACAAGUCAUGGCAAAGCCUUGCACUGAACUGAAUAAAACUGCUCCAUGGCUACACUCUAAAUCCCAGUGUGAAAACCCAGACAGAGGCUAAUCAGCCCAUUUCUACUACAAGCCCCACUGAUUGGUGGCCUAGAUCACAGUCUUCCAGCGUGUCUUUUGUGAGGCAGAUCUGAACUCUCCAUAUAAGGCAGGCAGCGUCUGAGCCCUGCUCUGUGGAGCAUGCUAAUUCACUGAACGCCAUCUCUGCAGCCCUGGGCAGCACCAAGCUGCUCUCUGCUCCGGGAUGGACCCUCACAACAGAGUGCAUUGAUCGCUUUAACACAUUGCUCCUCAGUGGGGAGGGGGGAGAAGAAAAGAUAAAGCUGUCCCUUAUACCCCGGCACAGAGCUUAACGGCAUGGCCAUAACAAAUGUUAAUGAGGCCCUGGCUUCAGAGCCGCAGUCCCUAUUUGUCACUUAGCGAUGAUGUUGCGCGGAGGCAGAGCAUGGUUUGUGAGACUGAGUGAGAAAGUGUGUGUGUAUGUGUGUGUGUGUGUGUCAGAGGGAGGGGGUGGGGUGGUAGUGUUUGUGGUAUGAGAAUGGAGCUGAAUGUUGUCAGUUGCAGGGGGGUGGAGUUAUCGGGUGGCAUGUGACUUGUGUGUGUUUGUGGAGAGGGGGUUGGCUCAUUGUUGCUGUCGUUACCCCUGCCUGACCUGUUCUGCGCAGUCUAGACACACACGUUCACGGGUCUCCACGGACCGCCUGCCUGCAAGGUUGCUGCGAAGGGCGCAGUCUCGCUGCUUGCAGCAUGAGUCCUCAUUCAUUUACCAGAACCUCAUGGCCGUGUGGAUCCAGACCCUGCAGUGCUGAGAGAUCUGUCCAUGAUGCUGUCAUGACGCAGCACAGAGGGCUGGCAGAUCGACCUUUAUGUAACAGCGGCAACAUAAUGAUGGAAAACGUCCCGCCUUCAUUUUCCUCUGGGAAGGAAAUGUACAAGUGAAAACGUGCAUUCUUUUUUACCCAUGAGGGAGCCACUGCAUUUGCCCAUUGUCACAGUUUAUAACGUUCAAGUAGCCUUCCGCUUCUGAAAUAAAAGCAAAUCAACAGCUGGAGGCUGUGAGCAGCGUGCAUUUGCAUAAUGUUGCGCGCGUGGGCGUUUGUGUGUCUGUGCGUGCAUGCUUGCUUCCAUGGCUGCUCUUGACAUCUGAGAGAGUACGCUGGGCCUGGGAAUGCGCGUCUGUGCGCCUGCGUGGGCGUGUCAGCGCGUUUGUUUUUGUUUGGCUUUCUCUGCGGCCCCUCCCCUUUGGCAGGGCACGGCGAAGGCUCUGAGAAUCAGGAGUCACACCAUCGCAGGCCGGCUAUGAGCGCUGCCUGUCCGCAGCGUCCGCAGUCUCCUUCUCCUUACUCAUGCUCCCACAUUUUAUUGUCCCUGCCUUGUCCCUCCCACUUUACCUUUCACCCACUUCCUGCCUGCUCACAGCUCGCAUAAUUUAUGCUCCUGUUAUGACUGCACAAACUGACAGCUUACAGACGUAUUACUCUUUACUCGGUUCAGUGCUGCCCUGGGCUCCCAGACACAGAUGUACCAUUCAACUAUGGAGCACACCCAACAUUUUAAUGCUUAAACACCAUAGUGCUGCAUACACAACAGCCCAGCACGAUGAGCUACUGAACGUGCUGUGUGGCAAGCUGAAAUGGUGAUGCAGUACACAAAUACUGUAUCACUAUUCUUCACAGGCAACUGAUAAGGCAAGGUAUUAUGUAAACAGCAAUUGUUAAAAUAUGGCAAGCCCAUUAUGUUAUUGGUUGGUAACCUCGGAGGUAACAACUGAUGUUUUGCAUUUUGCCCUGACCCAAACACAAUCCCUACAUGGCCUGUGGUGAUGUGUACUGUAUGAGCCAUUGCAUGUAUAGUGAAGAUCCUGAAAGGACUGAGCAGAUAUGUUCUAGCUGGGCAAUCCAUUUAUAAGUAUGCCUGGUUUGCACAGGGACAUAUGGAUGAAUAAUCUGAGUGUGGUGGUUUGGAAGGCUGCAGGCUUAACCGUCCUGCAGACAGAGGCGGUGGUACGGUUGCGCACUGCAGCAGUGCAUCUGACUGUUUCGCACACAUUGCAAUCCUGCCCACCCACAGCCAUUCUGAGCAGGGCGCUUGCUCUGGAAUCAAUGGGGAACAAUGCUCAUUGUGGCUCUCAGUGGGAGCGCUGGGGGUGGCCAUGUCUGUCUUUUAACAGCUUUAAUAGCCCUGCUCUCCUCUAUGAAGGGCUGAAGCGCAGGGACUGUGUGUGUGUCAGCAAUCCCCUGGAGACCAGUGCAGUGUCAGCCUCCUCACACAUGAUUCAACUGUGUGCUUCCUGUACAAUAGUGACACAGUGAUACACGCACAAACAUACUGAUGUCAUCCACAGCAUGGAAUUAUGCACAAAUCCACCCCAUGAAAGGCUCACUUAAGAUAAACUAAUGAGUAUUUCCUGCAUUGACAAACCCUAUCUGGUGCACCAUUUGUGGGUUUUAUUGUUUUAUGUGAUUUUAAUUUCUGGUGACAAUCCAUGAAAUGCUUUUAAAUGUUUAUAAAACAAUUAUUGAAAAUUACAGGGUGCUUAAAUUGGCCAAAGCUUAUAUGGACUGCAGAUGGCAGGAAACGUAAAUUUUAACAUGAGUAUUAUGGCCACAGAAAAUGAAUGACUGCCUUUGAACUGAGUGUGAUGUCUCGCCGUUCCUAGAAGUAGGAAUGUAUCGCAAGAACUUGUAGAGAUGCACCUUCAGGCAUGUUCAAAAUUAAGCUCUUAAAAAUACAACUUUGGAACAGAAUAUGUAUGCCUAGUGUUUUAUGAGAAAUUAAUGAACAAUUCAGCUGAAAUUUGUUGUGCUUCUAAAUGUGAAUAAGAUGAGAUUUUUGCAAUGUUCUUUGCUCUCAAAAAUGUCAUUGCCAACCUGACCAUAAUUGUAAACAGGCCAAUUCUGUGACAAAGACCAGGUUUGUGUAUGUGUGUGUGUGUGUGUGUGUUUUUGUAUACCACUGGAAAUGCAGUUCUACUAAAUGACUAAAUUGUACUUGUAAAAUUGCGUGCUGCUGUGCUCAGACCCAUAUAAGAAACAUCACAUGGCGGUAGUGACCUGGUUCUACACAGGACUGUGAAGGCUGGCCGGGGGGUCAUGCUUGUGGAGAUCCUACCUGCUGAGCUGAGUUCCGUGAGCUCCUGGAGGCUUGGCAGCACUGCCCGGCCAAGCUGAAAGCCUGGUAUCCAAGUCACACCCUGAAAACACAGAAACACACACACAGGGCGACGCAAGAGGGCAGGGACAGGAGUGGGGGGAGUGGCCCUCGGGAAUCAAAAGGCCUUCCCCCUCCUUCUGUUGCCAAGAAGCCAUGCUAUACAGAGGUGAAAUGAGGACACCAAAGAAAAAUAUCAACAUUUCUGCUGUUUGUUUGGGUGGAAAUGCUGCCUGCUUCACUGUGGAAACAACUGAUUGUGUUUAUGCUUACUGCAGUUCAGUUCUGGUGCUAAGAGACGCUAAAGAUAAGUACAGUAGCUGUCAGCCAUCCAACCCCAGCUUUUUACAUCCACUUCUGUUGCAUUACAGAGGAGACCAAGUCUACUGUCCCCACUGCAGUUUCAUGCUACCAGAAUAAACUUGGAAUUACACUGCAAGCAACUGGAAUGAGUUUGACAACACAGCAUUUAUAUAUUAAUAUUUCUAAUUGCCCAUGAGAAUGUCACAAACACUUAUGAUUAAUUUAAAAUGAAUUCAUUUAUAUUAAAACCAUUCUGGCAAGGCUGCCCAAAGGGUA